UCUCACAUGAGCAAAGCUAGAAAUUUUUUUGGAGCUAAAGAAAUGGACAACACAAAUUUUUCUUAUCUCUCUCCAACAAUCAUUGUAUGGUGAAAAUAUCAUAUCUAUACCAUUAUAUGACAAUGUUUUUGGACCAUGUGAUGGAGGUCUACUAGAUACAUCAUGAUCAUGAUCUUUGAGAAUUUCUUGAGCUAGUUUAGAUGAGCAAACAACAAUUGCUUUCUUGAAACCAAUUUGAAGAGAGAAAAGAGGACCAUAGAUUUUUGAGAGAUUCCAAAAUUGUAAAUGGAGAUUUGAAGUGUCAAGUUGAUGGAGAUUUCCAAUUAUAGGAAGACCUUUUGGACCCUUUGGAAAGGUUGAUGAUGAUGAGUUCUUGAUAUUGGUUUUGUAUUUCAUGAAAAGGAAAAAUACUAAUAAAGGUAAAGCUAGAAGUGUGUGAAGAUAUGACACCAUUGUUGUUCAGAGCUCUGCAAACAAAUCUCACUAUGAAAAAUAUCACAUGUGUGCUCUCAUAACAAAUUAUAUGCUUUUUGUACUUAUGCUGAGUUUGACAAACAUAUGAAACUAUUAUGAUGUUUGUGUCUUCCUAAUAUACUAUAAUAUAUCUAUGUCACUAUCUACUUUUUUAUAUUAAUUUAAUUUAGGGGGAAAAUACAUUGAAUUGUACACCUAGUUUUCAAAUGUAACUUCCCUUGUAUUUAUUUUAAAAAAAGUGUUGCACUUAAGAUUAUGAUGUGUUCUAUGCAAAUUUCCCUUAUUUUAAUGAUGAGAAAGACUCACCACGAGUAUUUUAAGGGUACUCUAUCUUAAAUAAUAAUUUUUUAUGGAAAUUAAAUAUUCAAUUUAUUGAAAAUUGAAUUAUUUAAUUUUUUAAAUGAAUAGUUUUUUUUCUUCAAAAAAAAAUUGAAUAAUUUUUUAAUUUAAAAUGCUUCAAAGAGUAUUCUUAUAACACUCCCUAACUAUAUUAAAUGUUAACUUGUGCUUCACCAAAAAAAAAAUGUUAACUUGUGUCUUGCCCUCAAGGCACAAGUUAAUGAAUUAAAUAUAGAAAUAAUGAAUUGAAUGCACAAAAUUUUAAAAAAUAUUUCUUCUUUUAAAUUUCUUAACAUAUGCUCUAAGGACACAAAUUAAUACUACACUUUAAUUAUUUACAGCCACCUCUUGACUCUUCUAUUCUUAGUGUGUGUUUGUUAUGGCGGUGGCGAGAAUUGAUUUUGAUAGAAUUGAGUUUGAGAGAAUUGAUUUUGGUUAAAAGUGAGUUGGAUGUGAAUUGAUUUAUGUUUGGAUACACUUACUUAAAAGUGAUUCUUACGAGUUGAUGUUGUUUGGAUAGUAUAAAUCAAAAUUGAUUUUAAAUGUGUAACGAUCAAAGUAUCCUUUUAAUUGUAUUUAGAAGUAAAUAUCUCAUUCACAUUAGAUAAUUAUUUCAGCUUAUUAUAAAUUGAUUUUAUUGAUUUAAAAAUUCAAUUUAAAAUAAUAUUAAUUUAUAAGACUUAUUUUUAAUAAUUUUUUUUUAUCAAUUAGGUGAUUUUUAAUAGAAUAUAAGCAUCAAAAAAUAAUGCAAUUAAAACUUAAAAGAGAUACAAUAUGCGCUCAUUCAAAAAUAAAUAAAUGCAGUUUAUGUAAAAAACAACAUUGACCUAAAUGGGUUUAAUUAUAUAAAUAAAUUUUAACUAAUAGCCGGAAAAAAAAAAUCUACAGAAUCAAACAAAACACCCCAACUCAACCCAAUAGUAAAAAAAAAAUCAUGAAUUAAAAUUAUGUUUUCAACGUGCCCAUGUCUUUCACUUUCGAGAAGCUUCAAUCCAUUUCUCAACACUCUUCUGCCACUUCUCUUCCCCAUAUAUCAACAUUCUUAUCUUAUUUUACCAUUUCUCUCAAGCUUAUAAGGAAAAAAAAAAAACGAAAUUAUAUGGGUUUGGGUUUAAGAGGAAAUGACAACAUCCAUCUGAUUUAAGUGGUAGAUUUGAGACAUGUGAAGAAGAGGAAGAAAGUUGUGGUGAUUAUGGAUGUUGUGAAGAAGAAGAAAGUUGUUAUUGAAUAGGAAAUCCAAGAAAUUGUGGCUAAUAAGGUAAAUUUACAUGUCAGCAGAAAUUAAUUAUUUGGAAUCGAUUUUUCUUUGCCGCAGAAGCUCCAAUUCCUGGUUUUGAAGUAACUCGCGUUUGGGGCUAAAAUCACGUUUUCUAAAAUUGAUUUUACAAGUUAUCCAAACAUCUAUUUCAUAGUUCAAACCGCGUUUGGGACUGCAAAAACACGUUUGGAGCUUGCAAACGUGCAACCAAAUAUAUACUUAGUGAUUUACAACUAUUCUUAAGAAAUAUAUGUACCAAUGAGUAACUUUAUUUUAGUUUCGUAAUCAAUUUAGUCUUUACCCGUUGCAUUAAGAGUUGGUUCAAAGAAUGUCACAAGAAAAUUGAUUUUCAAAGUUUGGCUGUGGUGCCCCUAGAUAAAUAUGCGUUAUUAUUGAGUAGAUGAAUGGCAUCCUUGACUGAAUUGGCGGUGACUAUUUUAUUGAGUAGAUGACAAUUUGAGUAAAAACAAAAGUACAUACAAGUAUAGAUAAAUAUGCAUUAACUAUUAUGAGGACAACAUUUUAUAUAAUAAAUGUUUAUACAAUUUUUUAGUAAAGUGUAAGUGAUAAAAUAAUAACAUCAUUAUUAUUGAAAACGAUUUUAUUUACAGGUGUUCCUUGGACACCCGUUAAGGAAUUUAAAAAUAGAAAAUAGGGUUAACGAAGUUUUACCUCCUGUAAUAUAGGUAUUUUCGAUUUUUUUCCUGUAAAAUUUUUGUUUUUAUUUAUCCUCUGUAAAAUAUUUUUGUUUUGGAAUACCCCUCUAAUAGGUCAUUCAAAAACGAAAAUUUCUACAAAAAUAAAAAUAAAAAAUUGUUUUUGAAUGACCUAUUAGUGGGGUAUUCCAAAACAAAAAUAUUUUACAGGAGGGUAAAUCAAAACAAAAAUUUUACAGUGGGAAAAUCGGAAAUGAUCAAUAUUACAGGGGUAAAACACUAUUAACCUUAGAAAAUAUAUUUUGGAAAUAUAAGCUUUUAUUUUUUAUCAAAUAAUUAUUACACCACUUUUUAAUAAAAUCUUACUUCCUUUGAAUGCUUAACCAAUACCGUUGGAGCACCGUUUAACAUUCUCCGUGAAAAAAAACUUAAGAUUAUAAACACUACACUGUUAUAUUUAGAAAAUGAAAGAUUCAUUAACUUCUAUGAAUUGAAAUUGUUCUUUGUAUCUUUAAAUGAAAAAAAAGUAUUGUAGAAUUUUCUAAUUUUCAACACUAUAAAAAAUUCUCUCUUAUAUGUAGGUGAAAAAAAGCAUUCAAAAUUUCAUCUGAAAUGCAUUUGUACAUUUGGUUCUGUAUAAUUCAUGAGAGAAACUUUUUUUAUGGUAUAAGUUUUCAAUUUGUGGGGACAAUUUAUUAUUUUAAGAGGGAACAAUAAUUAAAAUACAAAUAUAUCAACACAUAUAACAUAAACAUUAGUUAAAGAUGGAAAUGCGGGUCGUGAAUCCGACAUACCUACCGUUAGAGAUGGCAAUGCGGGUUAACCUGCCCUGUUUAUGUCUGACCCGCUAUUAGCCUGCAAAAAAUGGAAUGGGGGCGGGCCAACUUGAGGUGGUGGGCUCAAAUUUACACCUCGUCCCGCCAAUAGGCAAACAUGCGGGAUGACCCGUCUAACUUUUUUUAACUAAAAUUUAAACACGACACCGCUAAAAAGCCUGGAUGUUAAUAUUUGUUUCCUUUCACUUUUUGUAGGUUUUUGACAUUAUUACAACAAAGCAAAGAAGUUGGACAUAAGUACAUUCAUUGGGCCACCAAAACGAGAUGAAGGCGAGAAAUCUAAGAGAGUUAAAGGGAGAAAAAGCUAUAGCAACUUCGUUGGACAAGAAACACUUCACCAACGAAUUAAGUUGAUUUAGUGAUUGAGUCGAAGACCAGCUGACUGUUCCUUCUGAGUGACAAAAUCUCGAUUUGCUAAGUAAACAAGAUUUCAAUCAACGAAUUUGCACUUUUGUCGACGUGCAAUCAACAAACGAUAUUUUGAUUUAGCAAAUGCGAGACAUCGAUUUAUUAUUUAAGGGACAUGUUUUAAACCAUGUAUGAACAUUAAUGCCUAGACUUAUGGUUAAGUUUAUAUUCAUACUCUGGUCAUAUGUAAUUAAUCGACUAUUUCGCUUUGCAUCGAAUGUCGAUUGAUACGAUAAGGGAUAGGUGAAUUUUUAUUUGAAUCAUAGAAAAUUAACAAAUUUUUAUUCACAAUUUCAUUAACAAACAACUUUUAAUCUACCCGAUUUAGAAUUUCUACAAACUGAAGAACAAAGUGAACAAAAACGUAGUCUUUAUGGUUCGAUACAAUUCUUUGAUAAACCGGCAGUCCGGCACGAUACUUAUCAUUGUGCAAGUGAAUACUAAAAUUCAUUUUUUAUCGGUAACUCUACUCACCAUUUGUUGAUGGGAUGUAGUUGUCACCUUAAUUAAAACAAGAAAAAACGGGUCUAUGAUUAAGGAUGUAUGAAGUAAUUUUUAGUCCAAAAUGCUUGUUUCCAAAAAGGAAAAUGAAAGAAGUAAAACAUGUGACUCCUCCAUGAUUCAUUCUUACUCUCCUCAAUGUCACAGACAAUAGCAUUCAUCCUUCAAUGACGUGGUGGUACGUAUCCCCUCAUGGCAGUGGCGUAGCCAGGAUCUUGGAGUAGGGGGUUCAGACCUUUCAACUUUACCAGAGCUAUGAAAGUUUUGUGCAAUUAUUUUUUCUUUUACAUAUCAUUUAUUUAUACUACUAAAUUUAUAAUUUUCGUCAUUUUUUUCCAAUCAAAUAUCUAUUUUUUUUGCAUAAAUGUUUAAUUAUUAUUUUUUUAUAUUUUCCAUAUUUUGUAUAAAUUAUAAAUUUCAAAAUCUAUCAAAUCAAAGUUAGAAUUUGUGUAAAUUAUAAAUUUAUAAUUCUAAAGCAUAAUAAUUUGGUGUAUAACAUUUUGUGUUGAAAUAUGUUUCAUGGAAAGAAGUAAAAAUAAUUUACAUAAGUUAUUGGUUACGGAAAAAAUGUGAGGGAGAGUAAUUUGGGUACACCUUGCAUUUGAGUUCAUGAAAAUUGAGAAUAAGUAAGAUUUAUUUUAUUUUAUUUAGAAAAGAUGACAUUUGAAACCAACUUGAUUAAAUAGGGUAAACAUUUGUCAAUUUUAUUUAUAAAUUUGGGACAAAGAAAGUGAACUUUUCCUGUUAAAAUUUAGGAUGGUUGGAGUAUUAAGUUAUGAAAGAAUAUAAAAUAUUUAGUAAUAUAUAUUAUAUUUGCAAGAAUUAAACUCUGCGACAUACUUUGUUUAAUGGUAAAAGCUUCUUAAGAGACUUUUAGGAUUUGUGUUCUAUCUUCAAACACUUCAUUUUUUCUUUAGAAGGAAUUCAAUUAUUACAAUUACAAUUAUUAAUAAGAAAAUAAAAGAAAACAAAUGUAAUAGGAAAAACCAAAUAGAGAGUUGGGCUUUUAAAAAAUAGAGUUAUAUCAAAAAGGAAGUCAAUUAUCUCUAGUUGAGGCAAAUACUAUUGUGCUAACAUAAAAGUGAGACUCGUGUCAUUCAUAGGGUGAGAGAAACUUGGGUUAUUGGUGCAAAAUGUUUGGCUCAAUUGCAAUGUUAAAAUAUGAGGAGGUUCAUCCUUAAAAUAUCAGGAGGUUCAAGCACUAAUAAAACAGUGCAAUCAUGUGCAAAUUUUAAAAGCUCAGGGGAUGCAAGUGCAUCCCCUCACUUAUAUGUGGCACCACCACUGCCUCAUGGCUCCCUCAUUCUUCUGCUUGUCUUCACCUUGGUUGCUCUUAUUCUCUUUCUUUUCCUUAUUAUCAUAUCUGGAAGCUUGAUUUGGCUAUUGUUUUACUUCAAAGGUUUGUUUUUUUAGCAUAUGUCUUUACCCUGUAAUUUAGGCGAGUUUCGAUUUAACCUCCUAUAAAAAAAAUGUUUAGAUUCCAACCCUGUAAUGUAAAGAUUCCUUCGAAAUAGAUCCUGUAAUUUGAAGAUUCUUUCAUUUUAAACCCUGAGGCCAUAUGACUGUGCAAACAUAAUGACGUGGCACGUUGACUGUAUAAUUAACUUUGUUUUUAAUUUUUUUAUUUUCAUUUAUAAAUAAAAAAACUGAAAAUUAAUUUUAAAAAUAGAAAAAAAAUCAGAUUUUUUUUAAAAUUUAAAAAAUUCGAAAAAUCAAAAACAAAUUCAGAUUUAUUUUCAAAAAAAAAUAAUCUGAAAUUAAGAUUUUGAAAAUUAAAAUAAAAUCGUUUUUUUUUCAGAUUAUAUAAUUUUCAAAAUUUUAAUCUGAAUUAUAAAAAAAAAUAUAUUCAGAAUUUAAAAUAUAAUUCCAGAAUUUUUAUUUUUGGUAGAAAAUUUUUUAAAAAACUUUUUAAUUUCGAAAUAAAUCUGAACUUUUUUUUAAUUUUAAAAAUUAAAUUUCAGAAGUUUUAAUAUUUUUUUAGAAAAUUCGGUUUUCUUCAAAAAUAUAUUGUUUUUUACGAUUUUUUUAUUUUCGAAAAUUAAUUUUCAUAUUUUUUAAAUUAUUUUUUAUUUUUAAAUUAAUAUUUUUUUCAAAAUGUCAUGUGUGCCCUUUAAAAAAAUAAAAGAAAAUUAAUUAUACGGUCAGCGUGCCACAUAAUUAGAUAUUCACAGUCAGCAGGCCACGUAAGCAUUUUGCCCAGUCAGAUGACCUCAAGGUCUAAAACGAAAGAAUUUUAAAUGAGUAAAUAGUCAAUUUCCCCCCUGAAAUUGUAAGUUUCAUCAAUUACCCCCCUAAAAUUAACAAAACUUCAAUUACCCCCCUGAAAUUUCACAACGUUAGUCAAUUUACCCCCUCCGUCAAAUUUUUCUGUUAGUGCACAUGACGUUUUGCAAAUACCCCCUGAAGUUUUGCACUUAUGUGCAAAAUGCCCCCCAAACUUAAAAAUUUAUAUUAUUUUUUUCUUAAAAACAAACAAUUAAUAGUUAAAUAUUAAAACUAACUAUUAAUUUUGGAAUUUGGGAAAACUACAUGCAUAUAUACAUCAAAAUAGGCUCCAAAAUGGGGAAAAAUAUGUAUUUUUUAAAGUGACAAUAAUGGGAUGAUUUGUGGAUUAAUAUUGGGGGUUGUGUAGUUUAAAUGGUUUGAGCAAAUUGUUGAAGGAGUUGGAGGAGUUAAAAGACUAAGAUGGUGAAGGAGAAAAUAUAAAUUUAAAUCUGAUUAUUAAUUUGUUUAUAAACCUCUAAAAAUAAUAAUUUGUCUAUUAGAAAUAACCAUUAUUGUCACUUUAAAAAUACACAUUUUUCCUAUUUUGAUGUAUAUAUGUAUGUAGUUUUUCCAAACUCCAAAAUUAAUAGUUAGCUUUAAUAUUUAACUAUUAAUUGUUUGUUUUUAAGAAAAAAAUAAUAUAAAUUUUUAAGUUUUGGGGGCAUUUUGCACAUAAGUGCAAAACUUCAGGGGGGGUACUUGCAAAACGUCACGUUCACUAACAGAAAAAUUUGACGGAGGGGGUAAAUUGACUAACGUUGUGAAAUUUCAGGCGGGUAAUUGAAGUUUUGUUAAUUUCAGGGGGGUAAUUGAUGAAACUUACAAUUUGAGGGGGAAAAUUGACUAUUUAAUCAAUUUUAAAUUACAUGGAUGAAAUCUAAACUUUUUUUACAGGGGAUAAACCGGAACUCGCCUAAAUUAUAGGAUAAAGACAUAUUAACCCUUUUAGCUUCUUUGAUUUACUUUGAGUUGGGGUGUGCUUGUUUUUUUGUGUUCCGUAUGAUUGUAAGGGUUGGUUUGGACUGAUUUUCACUUUUGCAGUCAUUUGUGCUUAUUCUGAUGUUUGAUGUUUGUUGGUGAUUGAUUAGUUUAUGAGGAUAAUAAAUGUGUGGUGUGGUGUGAUUAUUUUUGUUUUUUAUAUGUUUGUAACUUUGAAGCAAAAGGAUGGCUUCCUGGUGGGGAUUUUCAUUUUGGGUUUGAUGUUAUGUGCUGAGCUUGGUUUUUAGUCAAUUUUGCUAGUUCUAGUGUAUCAAAGGCAUGUGAUGUGUUACGGGGAAGGAAACUCUGGUUAUCUGGAGUUUGGUAGGAGGUAAGUAUAGUCUGACUAUCAAAUAUUGUUUCACCCAAGAAUCGUACUUGGGUUCACUCAUGAAUCCAAUGUUUAUGUUUUUUACAUUCUUUUCUUUCUUUUGGAUUGUGGGGUGUGCCUAUUUUUUUUUUGUCUUUUGUAUGAUUGUGCAAUAAAAAAGGAGGAUGGAAAUUAGACUUAGGGGUUUAGGCGUGUAGAUUAUGUACUAACAAAAGUAAAAUAAAUGAAGAGUAGUUAGGUCACUAUAGGUAGAAAAACUAAAAAUUAUUAAGAAAUAUUUAAAAAAUAAUUAGUUAGAUAGAAAUAUGGUAUAUGAUAGAGCAUUAUUGCAUCUUUUGAUCGAUGUAGCCAACCUCAAAGAUUUAAUUUUUUGCUUCUUUGAUUUACUUUGAAUGGUAUGCUUGUUUUUGUGUUUUUAUAUUUGCUAAUUACAUCACAAAUCUUUGCUGAUCCAUGGAACCUUUUCUUUCACAGGCUUUUAUUUUUAAAAGACAAAAUUACAUUAAUACUCAUAACACAAACUAUAAAUCAUAAGCUAUGCAAAAAAACUUGCACCACAAGCAAGCAGACAUAGUGAAUUUGUGAUACAUGACAUAUACCCUUAUGCAUAAAAAAAACAAGCAUUCCUCCACAGUCUAAUUACCAGCAAGCAUUCUUUCUUUUCCUUGUGACAUUUACAUGUGAUUCUUGGCAACAAGGCAAAGGUGAUUCUUCUUGUGUCUAGAAAGUCCUGGCAACCCUUCAGUGUCAAUAUCUUCCUUUGUCAUCCCUUCAGGCGUUUCCCAAUCAAAUGAAUUAAGAAGGUUUGCAAUUAUCAUUUCCACCGUGGCGAUUCCCAAUGGCAUGCCAGGGCAAAUUCUACGCCCUGCACCAAAUGGUAUCAACUCAAAAUCCCGUCCUUUAAAAUCUAUAUCAUUGUUUAAGAAUCUCUCUGGAUAAAACUCGUCGGGAUCUUUCCAUGCCUCGGGGUCCCUAUGAAUGGCCCAAAUAUUCACAAACACUGAUGUUUUUGGUUCUAUUUUAUGUCCAUUUAGAAUGAAACUUUUACUGGUCUCUCUUGGGGCUAGUGGUGCUGGUGCAUAGAAUCUUAAUGUUUCUUUUAUCACAGCCUUAAGAUAUACAAGCUUUUGAAUAUCAUCUUCAUCUAUGAACUCUUUUUUGCCACAUAUGUUUCUAAUUUCUUCUUGAGCUUUCUUCAUUGCUCUUGGAUUCUUCAUUAAUCCAGUCAUCGCCCAAACCGAUGUGGCUGAAGUUGUGUCGGUAGCUGCGACAAGUAGGUUCUGUGAUCAUCAAAAACCAAGAAACUACUUAGGGCUUAAUAUCAAUGUAGUAGUCAUAAUCUAGAAGUUAAUUGGAUGUUUGUCAAGAAACAAUUUAUCCUAAGAGCUUGCUUAAUAAAUAUGGUCAGUUGCAAUGUAUGCUUGUGCUACAAUUUCAGCUUAAUUUCCUAACAUGAAUGAUUUUUGAAGUGGAAAAAUAACAAGCAGCAAAAGAUAUUCCAAAGAGAGAUUAUACUUUGUUAUUACAUUAAUCAUUCCCACCUCAACUCACUGAGAGGUCUCUUAACUAAGGGUAACACUUUUUGAAACUUACAUAAGAGUCUUAUGAUAAGACCAAUAUCGAUAAAAAUGCGAGAAGGUGAACUUGAGGUCAAAACAUUGGUGCUAGAAGGAUGACUAUGUCUUAUACAAGGAUUAACAAAGCUUUUAAUUUCCUAAACUCAAUUGGGGGGCUAUUGAUUGAAACAACAAAAAAGUUCCACAUAAAUUAGAAAUCGAGGUUAUGAGUAGUUUAUAAAUAUUCACUCUCCCGCACACCUGAGAGUCUUUACACAAAACAUAAGUGGAAAUUACAUAAGACCAAAAGCGAACAAUAUAAUAAAAAUAGUGUUUGGAACAUACCAUAAGGACGGAUUUGAUGUGAUCAUUGGUGAGAUCAAUUGAGAGACGACCCUGAUUCUUUAACUCAAGUAACACGUCAACUAUAUCCUUCUCUUCUUCAUCUUUCUUCCGAUUAUUAGGAUUGAGAUGUUCUUGAAGGACUUGUUCAAGAAACUCAUCCAAAGCCUUGAAAGUCUUGUCAACACGAGCAUUUGCCCCAGUGAGUUUAUCAAUCCACCCCAUAAAAGGAAUAUGAUCUGAAACAAAGAAGGAAAGGAAAAUAGCUUCUGUCUCAUGAAGUAAAUUAUGGAACCUGCUUUUCUCACCCCCUUCAUGCUCAUAACUUUUUCCAAAAGCAAUUCUACAUACUAUAGAGCUUAAGACAGACAUUAGGAUCUCACUAAGGUUUGAAAUUUCAGAGGAAUGAACAUGGUUAGAUAUUUUUUCAAUCAUUUGCUUGACCUCAGAUUUUCUCACAUGAGAAAAGCUAGAAAUUUUUUUGGAGCUAAAGAAAUGGACAAUACAAAUUUUUCUUAUCUCUCUCCAAUGAUCAUUGUAUGGUGAAAAUAUCAUAUCCAUGCCAUUGUAUGACAAUAUUUGUGUACCAUAUGAUGGAGGUCUACUAGAUACAUCAUGGUCAUGAUCUUUGAGAAUUUCUUGAGCUAGUUUAGGUGAGCAAACAACAAUGGCUUUCUUGAAACCAAUUUGAAGAGAGAAAAGAGGACCAUAGAUUUUUGAGAGAUUCCAAAAUUGUAAAUGAAGAUUUG
rnacentral:lncRNA from 1 species